UUCUGGGAGCAGAGCUAUCUCGGCAAAAGUGAGCUUUGUCAGUGUAAUUAUAUCUACACCAGGGGCUUCUGCCAGCAACACUCUGUUGGUGAUAGAACACACCCUUGCAACUUUCCUGUUUGACAAAGCUGUGGUGGCAAAAGUUUGUAGAUUAUAGCUGGCCUAAAGAAGAGGUUCACUGUCCUAUAGGUUUGUAAGUGAUACUGCAGAACGAAGUUUAAACACUGUGGAAUGGUGAGGCUGGAAAAACUGCAAGAAGGACCCUGAAAAGACAGCCCUUCCUUACUUCACUUCUGGUCUGAGCAUAGGUAAAUGCUGAAGUGUGCAAGGAUCCUGAUGUCAGACGCUGGAGCUCUGAAGGGAGCUGCUGAAUGACUGAUAGUCACCAAGGGGAAAUGUUUGCAUCAAAUGAACAAUACAAGAGAAGACUGCAAAGGAGAACUGGCUGUACAUUUAGUAAGAGGUCAUUAGCUCAUUAUGAAUGUGACCAAAAAUUGGAUUACAUGCAAGACUGAAUAGCUGCAACAAGAAUUCAUCAAUCUGCAAAUUGUCUAUUACAGAAUAAAAUGGGAAGGGAGCUGAGCUACAAUUUUUGUCAACUUUAUAAACAACUAAAGAAAAAAAGACAUAAACAGCCAGAGAGGAGACAUGACAAGAUGAAAAAAUCAAACUGAAAAAAGAAACCAUUUGAAAAGGUGAAAAGCAGUCUUUACAUGGCUUGCAUAGCUGCUUACAUAUUUAAGCAGUGUUUUUUUUUUCCAGCUGUAUCAGUUUCAUGGUUAAAGCAACGAGACGCAUUGUCUGCAACUUUGCCUUUUAGCUAGUCAUAGGGCCUGAUCCCACUAACAUUUAGUUCUGAACAUCGUUUUUACUAUUACAAUAGCCCCAUGACUACAAAGUAGGACAAACAAUGUGUAUAUUAGAAGUGUAGUAAUACCAGUAUAUUGAACUGGGAAAGCAAUCCUGUUUGUUGGUUCACCUAUAGUGUUGAAGCUGUGCUCCAUACCAAGAGUGAAACCAUUACCAUCAUGCCCCAAAAGAGAAAGGAAGGUAUACAGUUUUGCCUGCAUAACUGUAUCUAUGCUCACUAGGGCUAGGUACAGACAGUCAAAAAGCCCAAGGCAAAAUGGAUCUAAGAUACAUGCUUCUCUGUAAGUGGUGUAGUUCAGAUCAGUAGCUAAGAGAACAUACAUUUGCCAAAGGGGGAUGGGGGAAGGAGGGAGUGUGCCAAAUCUUAGACCAGGGUCCACCAUUUUUAAACCAGUCUGUGUGUGCUGAACUUCUGUUCCGUUAUGGGUAUAGACCAGUUUUCUAUCACUUAUACCAGUAAAAGUGUAUAUGCCAAUGUCAGUCAGAGAUGCUACUUCUUCAAACUCCUAACCAACAUCUGUGUGAUGUUAGUUUGUUGGCCUCUGCAUAAAGCAAAGGGGCAGAUCCUCAGAAAUUGUCAGACCAUUACUGAAAUAUGUGUCAGUGGGGACUGAGUGCUUGCAGGAUCAGGUGUAUAUUACAAACAUACAAAGGCAUUAGCAGGACGUUACAAUCUGCAUGUCACCUUUAAAUGGACAUAGUUUUCCAGACACUUAGCAGCAAUGUUGCACUUGCUGUUGUGAGUGGUCUUACUGGAAGCAUGUAGAUGUGACCUCGUGGAGCGUGGAGCUGAGCAUGUAAGAGGAAGGAAGAUAUAGGGAGAAGCGAAACAACCAGGGUUUGUGCCCUGGGUGAACCCUGUGAAAAAGCAUGGUAGGGGUGUAGUUUUGUUCCAAGAGCAGCAGGAGCAGUGCAUGGAGAGCAAGAGCUGAGUGGGGAGGAG